rnacentral:rRNA from 1 species
GAUGAACGCUGGCGGCGUGCCUAAUACAUGCAAGUCGAGCGAACAGACGAGGAGCUUGCUCCUCUGACGUUAGCGGCGGACGGGUGAGUAACACGUGGAUAACCUACCUAUAAGACUGGGAUAACUUCGGGAAACCGGAGACAAUACCGGAUAAUAUAUUGAACCGCAUGGUUCCAUAGUGAAAGACGGUUUUGCUGUCACUUAUAGAUGGAUCCGCGCCGCAUUAGCUAGUUGGUAAGGUAACGGCUUACCAAGGCAACGAUGCGUAGCCGACCUGAGAGGGUGAUCGGCCACACUGGAACUGAGACACGGUCCAGACUCCUACGGGAGGCAGCAGUAGGGAAUCUUCCGCAAUGGGCGAAAGCCUGACGGAGCAACGCCGCGUGAGUGAUGAAGGUCUUCGGAUCGUAAAACUCUGUUAUUAGGGAAGAACAAAUGUGUAAGUAACUAUGCACGGCUUGACGGUACCUAAUCAGAAAGCCACGGCUAACUACGUG